rnacentral:rRNA from 1 species
UACGUAGGGUGCAAGCGUUAAUCGGAAUUACUGGGCGUAAAGCGUGCGCAGGCGGUGAUGUAAGCCAGAUGUGAAAUCCCCGGGCUCAACCUGGGAAUGGCAUUUGGGACUGCAAGGCUUGAGUGCGGCAGAGGAGACUGGAAUUCCUGGUGUAGCAGUGAAAUGCGUAGAUAUCAGGAGGAAUACCGAUGGCGAAGGCAGGUCUCUGGGCUGACACUGACGCUCAUGCACGAAAGCGUGGGGAGCAAACAGG